rnacentral:rRNA from 1 species
AACGAACGCUGGCGGCAUGCCUAACACAUGCAAGUCGAACGAUGCCUUCGGGCAUAGUGGCGCACGGGUGCGUAACGCGUGGGAAUCUGCCUUUCGGUUCGGAAUAACUCAGGGAAACUUGAGCUAAUACCGGAUAACGUCGCAAGACCAAAGAUUUAUCACCGAAAGAUGAGCCCGCGUAGGAUUAGCUAGUUGGUGAGGUAAAGGCUCACCAAGGCGACGAUCCUUAGCUGGUCUGAGAGGGCGAUCAGCCACACUGGGACUGAGACACGGCCCAGACUCCUACGGGAGGCAGCAGUGGGGAAUAUUGGACAAUGGGCGAAAGCCUGAUCCAGCAAUGCCGCGUGAGUGAUGAAGGCCUUAGGGUUGUAAAGCUCUUUUACCCGGGAAGAUAAUGACGGUACCGGGAGAAUAAGCCCCGGCUAACUCCGUG